rnacentral:tRNA from 1 species
GGGGAUGCAUCUCAGUGGUAGAGUGUUUGCCUAGAAUGCAUGAGGCAUUGGGUUUAAUUCCCAGUAUUAUCA